AUGGAGUCUGAGGCACAUGGUGGAGGAGCCACGAGGGCAGCUGAUGAAGACGCAGGUGCUGUGGCCUUCGUAGGGAGUAGAGCACAUGGCAGCCAAGGUGUGCCGGAGGGUGCUGCUGGCCAUGAUGGCCCUGGUGUCCCAGCUGGCCCUGGAGACGCCGUCAGUCAAGAAGUCCCUGCCGGUUCCGGUGACAUGGCUGAUCCAAGAGGCCCCAGCGCUUCAGGAGAGUCAGGUGGCGCAGCCGCUGCCAUUCUGCAGAUCCCGGGAGCACCCAACGCACCAGGGCCUGGUGGAGACCCUGCACGCAGAGCCGGAGUUCUGAAUAACCGAGUCUUCCAGUUCAGCUUUGGCAUGCCUUUCUCAUCACACGUGGAGGCGGACAACGUGCGCCACAUCCUGACUCGACGUACUCAACUGCGAUGGCGGGACAGAGGGAGGACAUGCUCCUCUUCCUCCUUCUCAGCGGGAACAUGACUUUCAUUUUCCCUCCCUUUUAGCCGAUUGACUGCUGAAGACCGUGCCCUGCUCCAGACGGCCGUCGACUUCUGUCUGGAGCAGAUUUCUCUGGUGAUGUGGACCUUGCAGAACUUCGUGCCCCACCUUUUUCCUCAGUCUCAGCACAGAAGAGGGCCUUAAAACUAGCCUAUGUGCCCUAGUCUCAAGUAUCAUUCCCGAGGGCAUUGCUUUCUGCAGUAGUUUGAUAGGGCUUCAUCUUGUGCUUGUGCUGCUGCUUGUGGGCUUAGGGUCCACAUAGUUUGUUUGGAGAUUGUUAAUUGCAGAAAAUAAAAGUGAGCUACUAUGCUGUCUCUGACUUUAGUUUGAGCUUGUUCACUUCCUGAUGUUGCAUUCAUCUUCCGGUUGGAGGGAAGCUUCUCAGAUCCAGAUAUCCAAGGAGUACAACAUAAGUGAAGAUGAUGUAUGUAAGAAGUGGGAGAAUAAGAAAGUUGUGUAUUGCCAUUCAGUAUUGAUUUUGAAAUAUUUUGUCAGUUUUCUAUAUUUAUAUAUAUAUUUAUAUAUAUAUUUGUCAGUUUUAUAUAUAUAAUAUAUAUAUUAUAUAUAAUA
rnacentral:lncRNA from 1 species